CCUCAUUCAACCAGUGCGUAACACCGAGGACAGGUCACGCAGCCAUCCCGCAGCCCUGAACGCAUUUUCACGGCGCUCAUUCCUCUCGGCGCGCGAAGCUUCUCUGAGACACAGUUUGGGAUAAACAGUAACCUCACCUCACUUAACCCGGGACAUUGCGUGUGUGUUUGUGUGUGUGUGUGUGUGUGUGUGUAACGGGACUUCUUGCUGCGGAGCUUGCAGCUGGUUCGCCUGCCUUACCUGUCCCACCCGCCGCUCCGCGGUGCGUCGUGUCCGGCCAGCAGCGUCCCCAGUUCCUUUCUUAGUGGCAGCUGACCUGAAACCCAGUCGGUGGUUAAGAUCCUCCUGCUUCUCUUCUCCAUCUGCUCUCCUGUCCUCCAGAUGUUCCACACGCUGCAGCAGACACAGUCAGCGUCCUCACACAGCGCUCGCUCAGUCUACAAUAGAGAUGGAAAUGCACCGUAACUUUCUGCUUCCCGUUUGAUACUCAUCCGUCUCCUCUUCCCACUCCUUCCCUUCUGCUCCCACCUCCUUGAUGUCUGACAUUAAACAGGCUGCCACGACAUCUUCUCAUGCGAGCGAGUGAGUAGGCAUC
rnacentral:lncRNA from 1 species